rnacentral:rRNA from 1 species
AUGCUUCGGAUGCUUCGCCAUGGAAUAGAUCGAUUCAGUUCCCCUUCUUUUCUGGUGCACUCUCUUUGUAUCUCCGACACACAAGGAAGGACGCGGUGGGAAGAAAGCUGCCCUAGCCUCUGUCUGGUCGAUCAUUUCGCUGGCAUCUUGCAUUCAUGCCUCCGUUUGACUGCCGCUCGGGAAUGUAGUUGUAGAUACGUGAGUCUUAGUGGGUCGUUGGCUCCACCUCUUAUCUCCUUCUACGACAUGUUGUAG